UGCAGGCGGUUUGUUAAGUCAGAUGUGAAAGCCCGGGGCUCAACCUCGGAACCGCAUUUGAAACUGGCAGGCUAGAGUCUUGUAGAGGGGGGUAGAAUUUCAGGUGUAGCGGUGAAAUGCGUAGAGAUCUGAAGGAAUACCAGUGGCGAAGGCGGCCCCCUGGACAAAGACUGACGCUCAGAUGCGAAAGCGUGGGUAGCAAACAGGAUUAGAUACCCUGGUAGUCCACGCCGUAAACGCUGUCUACUUGGAGGUUGAGGUUUAAGACUUUGGCUUUCGGCGCUAACGCAUUAAGUAGACCGCCUGGGGAGUACGGCCGCAAGGUUAAAACUCAAAUGAAUUGACGGGGGCCCGCACAAGCGGUGGAGCAUGUGGUUUAAUUCGAUGCAACGCGAAGAACCUUACCUACUCUUGACAUCCAGAGAACUUUCCAGAGAUGGAUUGGUGCCUUCGGGAACUCUGAGACAGGUGCUGCAUGGCUGUCGUCAGCUCGUGUUGUGAAAUGUUGGGUUAAGUCCCGCAACGAGCGCAACCCUUAUCCUUGUUUGCCAGCACGUAAAGGUGGGAACUCCAGGGAGACUGCCGGUGAUAAACCGGAGGAAGGUGGGGACGACGUCAAGUCAUCAUGGCCCUUACGAGUAGGGCUACACACGUGCUACAAUGGCAGAUACAGAGGGCAGCGAAGCUGCGAAGUGGAGCGAAUCCCUUAAAGUCUGUCGUAGUCCGGAUUGGAGUCUGCAACUCGACUCCAUG
rnacentral:rRNA from 1 species